AAUUCCAUUUAUACUUAGUUUCUUUCUAAUUUUAUAAAAUAAUUUUGCCCUUCUAGGUAUCCCACAUCUUCUUAACCUAAUAAAAGCCAUACCUAUGAGACACAUGUCCCCCUUCUAAGCCUCAAAAUCUCAUUUUCCCGUCAUUUCUCUAUUCUCUUAUUUCCCUGAUGUGAACCCGAACGCGGGAUCCGUAUACCUAAUUCGGGUCAUAUCGUUCAUUCCAUACAUAAAGCAAAUAGGGUUUCAUCUUCUUCAACACACUUUCGCAACCUAGGGUUUCUCUUCUCCUCCACUCGAGUUCGUCUUCUUCACGGCAAGGUUCUUCCAUCAACAGGUUUGAUUUGUAUGUUUAUAUCAAUAAUCUGUGUUGAUUUCUUCUUAUUUUCAUAGAAAGUUUCUAAUUAAACCCUAAUUUCUUUUGUCUUCUUCCACGCACAGGUACAAUUAUAUCUCUAAUCGAACUAUCAUUCUUGAUUUUUAUCUUUGUAUUCUUCUCGAUUCCUUCCUUUUUGUUUACUCUAUUUCAGAUUUUGAUUUGUUAUCCAACCUAGGGUAUUCGAUGAAGUCCCAAUGAUUGAAUCUAUUGGUUUUUUCUCAGGUAUGAUAAUCUCAUCUAUUUCUGCUAACUGUUUACAUAUGUAUCUAAUUGUUGAUCGGUCUAUGAUUAGGUAUUCCUGUUUUAAUUUCAAUUACCUUCUUUAGCUACGUCGAAUUUCAGUUUUCUGUAGUCAAAUCAGGAGAAAUUGCUUCAGAUCUAGGUCUCCAGGAGCCUGUAGGAUCUUCGAUUUUAAGUUGCGAUUUGAUUUGACGGUUUCCAAUAUGCCUGGAUCUUCUUCAUUAAGAGAACCCUGUUUCUGUAGGCAUAUGAAUAAAGCAGACGAGAUUAUUCUGGUAAUUUAUAUUUCAUGUUUUUUUGUUGUUAUAAUUAAAUUGAAUUUAUUAUAAUAUUUUUUUAUAAUUUUUUCUCUAAUUAUAUUUCAUGUUCCAUUGUUUGGUUUGUUAGUCUAUUCCUUCUGAUGCUACUUGCAAGCUGUGGGGUGUGGAUAAAGGCCCUACAAAUGUUAUGAUACAUACUGAUGAUGGCCGGAUUUUUAAUGUUUGGUUAAGCGAAUCUAAAGGAAAUUUGUUCUUUUUCCAAGGAUGGUCCAAUGUAACCCAACAUUUGGGACUAUCCGAAGGAUGUUUGGUAAUAUUCAAUCCCCUGGAUUGUACUACGUUUAAAUUAACAUAUUUCAUUGAUGGUGUUAGUGGUAGCUCUUUUUGGACAAAUCUGCUACGUACAUCAUCUCGUUUUUGUGUCAUUCCUUAAGUUAUCCUGUCGAAAACCUUUACUACAUCCAUUGAUGUAAUAUCCACUAUAAUGAUAGACAACAAAACGUUUCACGUUAGGAUUGAAACGGCUGACGGUAAAUUCGGUUUUACCGUUGGUAUUGACGUUAUUGUUAGUCUGUUACAGUUAGAGCCUGGUUGUCUUUUGUUAUUUACAAAAUAUUUUGGUAAUUAUUUUAAUUUAAAAGUUUUUGGAAAAAACGGUGUUGAAAAGAACUUUCUUGAUAUAGAUGUUGAUGUGGUAAGUAUACAUUUUGUUACUUAUAUAUAUUCUUUAUAUAUUUUUUUCAUCUAAUAAAUGUUCUAUUUAAUUUGCAGCCUUUAGUUGCACCUAUUGAUGCUGUGAAUGAAAUUUAUGAAGAACCACAUAGUCGUGUUCAUCGGUUUUCCCGUAUGGCUGGUACCGAUUUUAUGCUUCCCGAUCGUGUUUCUCAAAUGGCCAAACUUAAUCUUGG